CCGGAAGUUCCGGGGCAUGGUCUAUAAAUAGAAUAACCUGAGCGUUGUUUAACAUUCGUGCGGGAGUGAAUGGAGUAUGCUGUGUUGCGGUGUCUGUAUGUCUGUAUGUCCGUAUGUCUGAGAGCGUAAAUGAGUGCUUUUGUUUGUCUCUAUGUAUUUAAAACCUACACACUGAUCUUAUUUGAUCGACCCGGAUUCAGCCUUGGUCCGACGUCGAGAUGAUAAAACGAUACUUGCUAGCCUCUAAGGCGAUGUGCGUACGAAAUCCAAACUCCAGGGCUUCCACACGAAGUUGUGGUCAGACGUGAUGAUUUGAUCAGAUAUACUAGUCUUGAGUGGACUUGACUAAUCCUCAAGUUUCACAACAGACCAUGAGUAUAGAAGCGAUUCUGAUCUAA
rnacentral:snoRNA from 1 species